UCAUCCAUGGCUUGUGAACCAGUUGGCUUCUGGCCAAAGAAGAGGCGAGCCAGUGGUUCCUCCAGGGAAGCAAAUGGAGAAGUAGUGCAUCCUGUCACCAUCAUGUUUAUCUGCAAGAAAACACAUAAUCCUAAUAGAAGACAGAUGUGGAAUAUGAAUACAUAUAUAUAUAUAUAAAAACGGAAUGAUGACAGCUAGAAUUCAACACAUCUGGAAAGUACUGGACUGAAAAAGUCUGACAUACAUAAUCAAAGCUAGAAGGGAUCAUAUAAGUAUUAUUAUUUAAUGUUCAAACUAUUGUAUCUGCCAUAUGAAUGUGCCUAAUAGAUGUUAUUAUUGUAACACAAUAAAAAUAUGUUGAACACA